rnacentral:rRNA from 1 species
AGAGCGAACGCUGGCGGCAGGCUUAACACAUGCAAGUCGAGCGGGCGUAGCAAUACGUCAGCGGCAGACGGGUGAGUAACGCGUGGGAACAUACCUUUUGGUUCGGAACAACCCAGGGAAACUUGGGCUAAUACCGGAUAAGCCCUUACGGGGAAAGAUUUAUCGCCGAAAGAUUGGCCCGCGUCUGAUUAGCUAGUUGGUGAGGUAACGGCUCACCAAGGCGACGAUCAGUAGCUGGUCUGAGAGGAUGAUCAGCCACAUUGGGACUGAGACACGGCCCAAACUCCUACGGGAGGCAGCAGUGGGGAAUAUUGGACAAUGGGCGCAAGCCUGAUCCAGCCAUGCCGCGUGAGUGAUGAAGGCCCUAGGGUUGUAAAGCUCUUUUGUGCGGGAAGAUAAUGACGGUACCGCAAGAAUAAGCCCGGCUAACUUCGCGCCAGCAGCCGCGA